GCAAAAGUUAAUCCUGCUUUGAUGCUUUGCGUCUCAGUAGUGUUAGGUCCUAAGAGAAAGUGGACCAUGACCUUCACAUGCUCAUAUUCACAAAUGAGUUACAUUAGAAGUUAAUAUUAACCAAUAGGAUUCACUUCAUUCAACAAUUACAUUUUGAAUUCUGCAACAUGCCCUUCUCUGUUCUUGCUGAAGAAGAUACUGUGGUGACCAAGACCAGUCCCCACCCUUUGGAGCUUUGAGUGGAGCAAACAGACCCAAACAAAAACAGAACAAAACUGAUCGUCAUCAAAGCCAUGAAGGAAAGGAAUAGGGUGAGAUGGUGGGUAAGAGAACCUGUGUGAGGGGCACUACUUUAGUAAGUGUGGCCUGAGGAGAAAGACCUCUCUGAGAAGAGGAUAUUUUGAGUGAAGAGAGGCCGAGACUUGCAAAAGCUCCAACAGAAGAACCGGUUCCAGAAGUUGGAGGCAUGGAAACAACCCCGAGCACAGCUUGAACCUCGUAAAACAGGGGGAGAGGGAACUGAGAUUGGCCAGCAAGGAGGGAUCACGAUAUUUAUUCUAAUUUCAGUAGGAAAGCAUGCAAGGGAUGUUAGCAGGGAAAGAAUGUGAUCUGAUUUCCAGGUGAAAUGUCAACAGUUUCUAAACAGAGCUCUAACAAUAACUGCGGCUUUAUCUUCCAAGAGAUGCCGAUGCGGAUCUCUGGAUACCUGCUGGGUGUCUGCACAUCAUCUUAGCAACUCAGGAGGCUCUCACAGCAUCAGCCUCUUGAAGUUUGAAAAUGUCUGCAUCACCAGGGACCUGCGUUGAUCCACAUCCCAGAAUAUGCCAGGCUUCAGAGAUGCCCAGCUCUGUUGUUCAAAGUGUUUUAUUAAAAAUUGGUGAGGAGAGAAAAGAAGUCUCUGAGGGCCUGUCUGAUUUCAUUACCUCUGACAGAGCACACAGACGGAGCAGAGCCCCAGAGGGCCGAGGAGGGCCGCCCUUUGAGGUGCUGGGUGAUGCGCAGGCCUCUGGAGCCAUGGAUACUGAAUCCAGAUGUCCUCGUCUGCUGGCAUCUCGCACAGAUCCUGGACGCUCAGUGUGUAACCUGGCGUCGACUUCUCAAUCAUCAAACCCCCAGCAUUCUAGUUGGAAGAUGGACACCCACAGAUCCCCAAAUUUUCAUUGGUUUCAGUAAUGUAACUUCUACUGUUGCUCCUCUCAUUAGCAAAACUCUGUUCUCUAGUGGUUCUCUCUGUAAGUUCUAUUCCCCUGUGGCUUUCAUGGAUAGCCUGAAUCCAGCAUUCUGCAAAGAGCGGGUGCUACCAUUGAGAUUGCAAUCCAGACAACAGUUGAAUCCUCCAAGGUCCGGAUACAGAUCGCACAAGAUCCUUAAAGGCAGGGACUCACCAGAUGCCACCGACUAAAAUGGAAGAAGAGACUGGCUUGUAUGUUCCGUAAGAAGAAGCCCUCCGUCACGUAAAGAUAGCCACAGAGCCAAGCAGGCUGCCUUCUCCCACACAUAUUUUUCUGGUUGCUAAGGGAGGUCUCCAGCCUCAAAAGUGGCCCUGAUGAAAGAUGCCCUGUGAAGCUUGGGGAAGGUGUCGGAUGAACACAGGAAGUGAAGAGCCCCGGACGGGCCACCAGGAUCCCCACUCCAGAUCACUCUCCUCCUCCACCAUGGACUUUCUCAGCCCUAGAGACAGGUUACUAUCAACUGAGAGCUUUUUAAAAGUACUGGUGCCUGGGCAACCCUCCAGAACAAUUAAAAUAGGAUCAGAUUAGAA